UAUUGUUUUUUUUUUCUUCUAUAAUCGAACCCGCAAAAAUUGAAAUUAGCGUAAAAUCAAACCCGCAAAAUAUUAAUGUUUUAAGCUUUCACCGGUGGGUUCCGUGUUGAAGAAAGAAAGGACGGC